GAUGAAGAACGUAGCGAAAUGCGAUAAGUAAUGUGAAUUGCAGAAUUCAGUGAAUCAUCGAAUCUUUGAACGCACAUUGCGCCCCCCAGUAUUCUGGCGGGCAUGCCUGUUCGAGCGUCAUUUCAACCAUCAAGCCCUGCUUGUGUUGGGGUCCUGCGGCUGCCCGCAGGCCCUGAAAACCAGUGGCGGGCUCGCUAGUCACACCGAGCGCAGUAGCACAUCUCGCUCAGGGCGUGCGGCGGGCUCCAGCCGUUAAAGCACCCACCUUUCGCAAGGUUGACCUCGGAUCAGGUAGGAAUACCCGCUGAACUUAAUCAUAUCAAUAAGCGGAGGA
rnacentral:misc_RNA from 1 species